CAGUACAUGGCCAUCGACUGCUUGCUCCUCCUCCUUGACGACCGUGACACUUGGCACGCGGUGGCUGACGCCACGGCCGCGCGCCUCGCCGACCUUGCCGAGCUCCGGCACCUCGGCCCAAGGCGGCGGCUCGGCAAUGCAAUAACAGCUGCAUUGCUUAUCGACGACGACAACCUUGUCCGUGGCCGUGAGCUCGGCAUGGAAGCAAACG
rnacentral:lncRNA from 1 species